rnacentral:rRNA from 1 species
UAAUUUGAAUAAACUAUGUUGAAUUGAAUUGAAUUGAGUUCUCGUCUGAUCACUGAAGUUAAGCAGCGUCGGGCGCGGUUAGUACUUGGAUGGGUGACCGCUUGGGAACACCGCGUGCCGUUGC